AGUCGAACGGUAACAGGUUAAGCUGACGAGUGGCGAACGGGUGAGUAAUGUAUCGGAACGUGCCCAGUCGUGGGGGAUAACUGCUCGAAAGAGCAGCUAAUACCGCAUACGACCUGAGGGUGAAAGCGGGGGAUCGCAAGACCUCGCGCGAUUGGAGCGGCCGAUAUCAGAUUAGGUAGUUGGUGAGGUAAAGGCUCACCAAGCCGACGAUCUGUAGCUGGUCUGAGAGGACGACCAGCCACACUGGGACUGAGACACGGCCCAGACUCCUACGGGAGGCAGCAGUGGGGAAUUUUGGACAAUGGGCGCAAGCCUGAUCCAGCCAUGCCGCGUGCGGGAAGAAGGCCUUCGGGUUGUAAACCGCUUUUGUCAGGGAAGAAAAGGUUCUGGCUAAUACCUGGGACUCAUGACGGUACCUGAAGAAUAAGCACCGGCUAACUACGUGCCAGCAGCCGCGGUAAUACGUAGGGUGCAAGCGUUAAUCGGAAUUACUGGGCGUAAAGCGUGCGC
rnacentral:rRNA from 1 species